AUUUCACCAAAUUAUCAAUCGGUUCUGCCAAAUUAAAAAUAAAAACAGAAUUAGGAAAAAUGGUCCUUCAACCCAUAAAUUUAGUACAUAUAAGCCACAGAAGAAUAGAACAGGAAACUAGAGUCAAAAAAUAAACACCAUGAAAGAUUUAGCUUUAAAUUGGGAUUUCCAGUAGUGAAAAUUGACAACCAAACUUGAUCAGUUGAACCUAUCGAGAAAUAGAACCAUUUUCUUGCAACAAAUCAUGCCUAAGAAAAUGAAAGAAAAAAAGAUAGAAAAACCCACAAUCAGAGUACAAACUCUAAAUUCCAACGAAUCACCAAAUUAUCACAAAGACCUCCUAUGGUCCUGAACUGGGUCUUCUCCAAAUUAAUUCAAACAAUUGUUUUAAUAUCAAAGAUCCUGCAAGGAAAAUAUAUAAAAUCUGUAACAGCCACUAGCUACAAACACCAAUAGGAACGCCACCAAAUCACCAGUUGGAUACCCUCGAGAACACAAAAGUCAACUCAAAUCCUCAACUUGGUCAUACCCAAUUCCAAACCACUCAAAAACCAAAACAAAUACCCAAAAGAAUUGGAACUCCUUAAUGGGUAAGCUUACUUGCUGUAAAGCUGAUCUGGGUCA
rnacentral:misc_RNA from 1 species